rnacentral:rRNA from 1 species
AUAAUCAUUAGUUUUUUAAUUGGGAACUAGAAUGAAUGGUUGAACAAAGAAAUAACUGUCUUUCUGUUAAAAUUGAAUUUAACUUCCAAGUGAAAAGGCUUGGAUUUACUAGGGGGACGAUAAGACCCUAUAAAGCUUUAUAAGUCUAAAAAUCUUCAGAAAUUUUAUAAAUAAAUUUAUUUUCGAUAGCUUAUUUUGUUGGGGCGACAAAUGUAUAAAUGUGAAUAACUGCUACUCAAAUAAAUACACCUAUCAGUGUAUUAUAAAUAUAAAUGAUCCUUAUUAAAGAUUACAAGAUCAAGUUACUUUAGGGAUAACAGCGUAAUUUCUUCUGAGAGUCCUUAUCAAAGAAGAAGUUUGCGACCUCGAUGUUGAAUUAAAAUGUCUUCAUAGUGCAGCAGCUAUGAAAGAAGGUCUGUUCGACCUUUAAUAUUUU